GCCCGCCGCGCGCAGCCACCUCCCCCGGACGCCAGGGCGUGUGCGGGGCUCGCGGGCUCCUGCGCUCCGGGCUGGUUCUUUUCUCGGCCGCGUGUGUUCUGGUUGUGAAUUCAUCCAGCAUCCAGGAUGACGAUCCGACACCAAGGCCAGCAGUACAGGCCGAGGAUGGCAUUUCUCCAGAAGGUUUCCAGGCUGCCUCUUGGUCCUGAAGAAUCGGCAUUGCUUGGGCAGAAUGUCGGAGGGUGAAGAGCCUGGUACCCGGUGCAGAGGUGCACGGGCUGCAGUUAGCUGGGUCCACUCCAGCUCUGAGCCACGUAAGGUAAGGAAACUGAGGCUAGUGAGAGCCAACCCUGGAAGAACUGUGGGUGUGAUACGGCGAAGCUGGGCCCACCACAAUGGUGGAAACAUAGAGGACAGCAUGCAGUGGGAAGGAGCUUCCAUUUCUACGCUUCUGCAUGAGGAGGAGGGAAGGCACCUGGAGGAGAGCCUUGAAGCUGAGAUUGAAGGAUGCCGGGCUUCUGCCGGGUGAGGAAAGGUGGAAGGAGGACCCAGGCCAUGGAGGGGCGUGUGCCAGAGGGGUGUGCAGGUCUGGUGCGUCUGAGGCAAGCCGUUCGCUGUUGCUGAGCUUAUUAUACAAGAGGAGUGUGCGGCCGGACAGGCAGGCAAACUGCCUUCAAAGGUCAUCUGAUUUUUCCCCAAAGAAGCCACUGAGGAAUUUCGAGCAGGAACACAGGAUGGUAAAAGCUUCUUUAUAUGAAAUACUACGUAACACAAUCUUAUAGUGUCGGAGAAGGUAAAUCCGCUGCACGAAAGAACAUAUACACACACACAGGAUAGGACGGCGGACAUUAUCCUCAUUUUAAAAUUGAGGACACUCAAGUUCAAAAACUUCAGGCAGUGAGCGCCUGCGGCAAGUGGCUGUCCUGGAAGAGAAAGAACCCAGCUGGUGUCCCGCAAGUAACCUAUAAUCGCGAGAGUCCCAUUUCUCCUUGGAAAGAGAACGUGAUUUUAAUCCGCAGGGAGGGCGUGCCCCUCCCACCCUGUACCUUCUGUCCUAUUGCAAAUUGCGCUCUGUGUGUUCCCCCUUUACCCCGCUGUUCUUCCAGGGCCACGGUUCCUCAGCUUUUGACCUGACUUCUCACUCCCAAAUCUGGCCGCAAUCAAAUAUUAAGUUGGGGCGUCCCCAUUAUUUUCUAUGAGCCAGUUGGCCUCCAGCAGUUAUAAAAAGGAACGAAGUCCAUAGCUCUGGGUAUUCGGGGGACGAUCCCGAAGCAUCACUCGGGGGAAAAGGACCCCGGCGCCGUGGCUUCGAGGUAGCCCCUCCGUGAAGCCUUCCUCCCCUCACCUCAACUCCGCGGCGUGCGGGUCCGCAGACCAGGCUCCGCCUGCGGCCCCCCGCCCCGGCUUUUGGAACCCGACAACCCUCGGGACACCUCCCAAGAGCCCCAACUUGAGGACAGAGCCUCCCGUCGCCCGCCAAACUCCUUAAAGGGGGCCGGGUGGGGCGUGGCCGGAAGUGGCUCGCCGGGGGAAGUCUGUCUCCGGGGAGUCUGCGUUUCCUCUCUAGGAGUUGGGAGGUAUCCGCACUUCUAUGGUCUGGACCUCGCGCGGAGCUGCAGCACGAAGGAAAGGGGGCGCCGGGUCCGGCGGGUUAGAGCGCUGAACCCUGCCUCCCGUUUUCUACCUGUGUGCACUUGGCAGCACUAUUGGCAGAGAGUCGGAAAUUGCCCUCGUCACGAUUUUAAAAAAUGGAGAUACAGAAACCCAGUAAGGCAGCCGCAAAACUCCUCAACGGUUUUCUAGCCGUUUUUUGUUGGUGUAUGCGCACAUAUUUUGACCUGAGUCUAACUUUCAUGCAAUAACACUGCUAAAAUGACCCUAAAUAAUUAAAAAAAAAAAAAAAAAGGCUUUGCAUUUGAAGUACCUUUUAAACUUGAACCCCCGGCUGGGGCUGGACCUGCUGCUCCCGUCCCUUCUCACAGAGCCAGCCCUCUUGUUCCCAGAACUGCAGGGAUGAAUGAGCACACCUGCUCCUCCCCUCACCCCUGGGCGCCCAGCUGGCUCAUCUGUUGAUUCAGAGGUUCAUGUUACCAACUUUGACUACUCUCUUAUUUGGAUUUUCGGCUCUAAAAAGAGAAAGGGAAAACUAUACAAAUACAAAUAUAGAGUCUAAUAAAAUUAGAAUUGUUUAGGUUUAAAAAAUGUAAUAGCAUCCAACACAGAAAAGGGUGUGGUGAAAUUAGUUCAUUCUGGGCAAACACAAUGGAAAUAUGCAAUCCUGUUGAAAAACUACUUGGCAUCCUGUAUCAAAACUCAUUUAACUCAUUUAACAUGAGAUGUUAUCUGUGGGAAAUUUAUCCCAACCAAAUAAUCCAAGAGAAAGGAAAAGCUGCAUUUCUGAAAUUAUUCUACAAUAGAUAACUGUUGAUUUUGCUUGCCCAACAUCCAGUUUUCUUUUUUCUGAUUUUAAUACUAUGAUUUUUAUGUGGGAAACUAGUUAGCUCUCAUUCCACUUCUGGGGUGGGCACAUGACCCAGGCUGGACAAUCAGAAUAUCUCAGCAUGGCAUGGAGGUAAGGUAUGAAGCCAGAGGCCAGGCUGCCUGGGUCCUAAUCCUGCCUCUGCUGCUUAAUAGGUACUUAAUGAACUUCAGCUUGUUCUUUAUCCUCUUUGAGUCUCAAUUUACUCGCUUGUUGAAUGAGGAUAUUGAUAAUAAACAUCAACUUCCUAGGGUUGUGGUGAGGACUAAAUGAAUGAAGCAGGUAUGCUAAGGCCCAUCAUGUACUACCGUUAUCAUUUCCCAUCUUCACACCUCUGAGCAGGUUCUCACCACCUUUCCUUGACUUACUUUUCUUUUUGUCUUCCACAUACUCCAAUAUCAUCUACUGCAAUAUCUCAGAAUUCUAUUUUCUUUCUUUCUUUCCUACUGGAAAUACCCUAAAGUCAGGACCGUGUCUUAUUCACCUUUAUACCUGGGUGCUUAACAAAGUUCCCACUCCAGAAACGGUCCUUAAUAAAGGUUUGUUGAACAAAACUGAAUACUCUCCAACACAGAGCAGAGAAGGCUGGAAGAAUGAAUGAAAGUGUAAUAAAUCCUAGAGGAUAAACAAAAGGGAAAUAGAGAGAACCACAUGAAGCUAGAACAAUUUUCUUACAAGAAAUGGCUCGAUCCCUGGGGAUUGCAGACUCUAUUUCUUCCUGGCCCUGAACUUACUCUCAUAUGGUGGGCGGAUGAGUUCCAGCGAUAGACUGGUACCUAAAGCCAACUUUCUGAAUUACUGCUUCCCUUUUCUUCCUUUGACCCAUCUCUUCCCCGGGGGAUUGGCAGGAGAAAAGACGACUGCCUUCAGAGUGAUCAGAUCUGCACUGAGGAUAUCAGAUACCACUCUGCAAGACCAAUAUUCAUGUGUAAAAACUCAUACAUACAAGGCAAAGUAGAGAGGCAGCUCAAGGGGGCGGGCUUCAUUCAGUGCAUGGAGCAGGUGGAUCAUGCCAGCCAGGAAACCCUUUCUAAUGAGUGAUUGCCUUGCUUCUGAUGGUGAUACUGGGUUAGUGAUAUCAGCAUCUAUUUCUCUGCCAUAUGAGACUCCCUUGGAGCCACACUCAUCUGAGACUCAAAAAUUCUUAGAGUUGGUAGAGAUGGACAGGAACAUUUAGAUUACCACUGAGUGUAGUGUAGAUAUCAUCUAUGUCAUCUUGGGCCAUGGCCACGGCCGCUUAAGCUAUGAACACUCCAAUGACACCCAAUUCCCUGGUCUAUGAGAUAACCUAUUGUAGGGGCAUUAGCUGGCAUGCCCCUUUAAAAACCAUGUGUCCUUGAGGCUCCUGUCUGCGCUAUGUGCCAGCACUCAUGAUGCUAACAGUCCUGGGCUUGGCCAACCCAGCUGCUUUCUCAUGGGAGAGUUAGCACCAAAACCCUUGCGGUCUGAGGGAACACAGAGGCCCUCUGGGGGCUCUGGUCCUUGGAAUGCAGGUCAUACAAGGACGAUCCCCCUUGCCACGCACAUAGCCUUUGUUCCUCUGUCUACUUAAGCAAGCUUCUCUCAGGGGUUGAUAGCGGGUGCAGGUCACUGUCCAGCUAGCCACCACUGGACCUUUCCUGUAACUCCCAAUAAACCCAUAUGCUUUGUUUCUGUCUCCAGGUCUUUUCUUUGGUGUCUUGGCAACUUAUCCCACACUGCUCACCCAGAUGGGCGUGUGGCAGAACUCUUGGUGAGCCAGCCAGGAGAACAAAGGAAACUGUGACAAUGUCUGCCAGCCUUUUCGCUGCUUGGGCACACACCGUUGCUGACAUCAAAAACUGCUCCAACUGCUGGGUAUGCAGCGAGCUGCCUCUCUUCAACCACGGGGCGACCAUGGCGUCUCCAAGCUGCCAACACCUCUGAUGGAAGGGCCCUACAAGAGUGGAGGAACACUGCCCGCUUUCCUAUUUCUACGCCCCUCCACCUGGUGACAUGUUUUCUUUGGUGUCCUUGCCUUUUUACUACUUUUAUUUUCAUAUUGUGCUCUCUGUUGCUGUUGUGGUCUCAAGCUACAAUGCUCUUCCUGUGUCUAGCUCGAGGGAAACCGUGGAAGACUGGCGUAAUGAUAUCGUAAGGGCCGUUCCAACACGUGGGGGGUGGAGUGUAGGGGCAUUAGCUAGGGUGCCCCUUUAAAAACCAUGUGUCCUUGAGGCUCCUGUCUGGGCUAUGUGCCAGCUCUCAUGAUGAUAACAGUCCUGGGCUUGGCCAACCCAACUGGUUUCUCAUGGGAGAGUUAGCACCAAGACCCUCUCGGUGUGAGGGAACACAGGGGCCCUCCGGGGGGGCUCUGGUCCUUGGAAUGCAGGUCAUACAGGGACGAGCCCCCUUGGCAGGCAUUCAGCCUUUGUUCCUCUGUCUACUUAAGCAAGCUUCUCUCAGGGGAGGCAGCGGGUGCACCUCACCAUCUAGCUGGCCACCACUGGACCUUCCUUGUAAGUAACUCCCAAUAAACCCAUAUGUCUCGUUCACUG